CAGGUGUCUGGGCUGUGAGGCCGGAGCCAGAGCUCACUGGCCAGGUCAGCCCGUCCAGAUGACACAGGAACACAGCUUGCUGAAAACACGGCCAGCCUGUUCCCACCAGAGCCAGUCGAAGCGCCCUGUGCGGGUGGCUGUUUCUGAAGCUCUAAACCCUUUGUGUCCACCAAGCUGAGUCCUGAGAAAACCGACAUCUGCCUGCAGAAUGGAAAGGAGUGCUCCAUGUUCCUCUGUCUUCACUUCCCUUCCAAGGCCAUGUUUGACCGGAGCUCACUGCCCAGAGCGUGGACUGGGCUUCCGUGAGACGCCACCAUGAGAGGCCAGGUGGCAGCUUGAGAAUGGACUCGCACAGGUGCCUCCCAGACUGCAGGGGAGCACUUGGGGCCGCCCCAGAAGGACCACUGCUGGAUCCCCGGGAGAACCUGCUGGCGUCGGCUGUGAUCCUGGAAUGAGGCCCUUUCGAAAUCGUCAUCCACCCAGAGCAUGCGGGAUUCAAUGCCAGGCUCUUCCCACUACCCCAGACCUACUGUGGGUCUUCCCGUGGGAUGCAGGGCCCUGAGACUGAAGGGUGUUUGGUUUCAAAAGAAGACUCUGGGUGUCCACUCUUCCAGGACGGCCUCACUCUUCCAGGACGGCCUCUGUGCUACCGGGGUCACGCGAGGCUGUUUGCAGGAGGCACGGUCCCAGGAGCUCUCUGCCCUGGAUGCUCCCAACCUACCUCCCGCCCGGAGGCCACAGGACCCACAAGUGUAGGCAGCCGUCCACACCAAGGAGCCCCUGGAAGGCCCCACUGGGCUUCGUUGUCCUCUGCCACAUUCCCUGGGAGGAACAGUGGCCCUCGGCUGUUCUGCUGAAAAGCUGAGCCGCCUCUGAAAGAGGCACUGGUGGAGUUUGCCAGAAGAAAGGCUGUGCCAGAGCUGUGUUUGGCCAGUUGCAGAGGCUGCCCGGGCUCUUGGCUCUGCAGUGAGACACAGCCCCGGGCACAGCCCAGCAGGGCGGGAGAUGCACACGUCCAGUAGGCGCAGGCCUGGCAACACCAUCCCCACAGUCCUGAGAAGUUGAGAGGGCAUCACCUGGUGACCAUGGUCCCCUUCUCACCGCAGCAGUGAUGACCACAGUGAGGGGCGGCUCCACCGGCCUCCACUGCCCUCAGCAGCCCCACCCCACUCAACCAUGAGGGUCCCCAGGGUUCUGAUGAAGACUCCGACCCCAGCACGAGGCUCCUCAAACGGGGUGGCCCAGUGCUGAGGGGUGCGGCCCUGGGUCCUGACACGCCCCAGCACUGUGCUCGUGCCUGGAAUGAAUCAGCUGCUGACUGUCCAGGAGGGCUGGAAAGGACACUACCAGGUGACCCAGGGUGCACUUGCCCCAGGGAGAUGGAGUAGACAGCCUGGCCUGGCUGACACCGUGUCUACCCCGGGGCUAUGGGCAAACGCCCCUCCUUCUUCCUUCCCAGAGUCCCUGCCAUUCCCGGGGUCAGCCAGGACCUGUUACAGCCCUGGUCACUUGGAACUGACAGCUGUGUGAGGCCUGCAGUUCUCAGACUCGGACUUAAAAUGAGGAGUGAGGGCUCAUGGUUACAAUGAGGUUCCAGUACUUGUCACAAGAAAUCGGUUUUCCAUGAAAAAAGUCCCUACCUGGGCCUUUAAGUGAAUCCACUCCUGCUUUUAACAUGAAAGCAUUAGAAGAUGUGUGGUGUUUGUAAAAGAACAGUUGUCAUCACCGGGCACUGACUGGCACGGACAAGGAGCUGCUUGGGUGUGGAAAUUUGGGGCGAUGGAAAGCGGGGUGUGGUGCCCAUUUGCGGUGACUGUGAAGUGACUCCAGGAGGGAGCUGCGGGGGCACCCAGAGGUCCUAAGCCCCAGGACUGAGGGUGGUGCAUCACCACUCGGGUGUCCCGGGAGGUGCCCCGGGCCUAGGGACCUCACGGGCAGGACAGCGACACCCUUGCAGGGAGAGGGUGUCUGGCUCCAGCUUUUCCCAUUGGAGGUGAUUUUCCUUCACCAGGGGACAGGCAGGAAAGAUGCAGGAGCCCCAGAAGCUUCUACCCCUCAUGCCUGGGGCCCAGGGGACACUUGGAGGCUGCUGUCACCACUGCGCGUCCAAGGCCAUGCCCUCUGCAGGUGAGUGCCUGAGUCUCGCCUCCCUGCUGGUCCCUGAAACCCCCCUCAGAAGUCCUGCACGUUGGGAUUUGUGAGACCCGCCCUGUAACGCCUGCCCCUCUCAGCCCAAGACAUCAGCUUCCUCGUUCUCCUGUGCUGUAGAUAGGCUGAUUCCAGUGUUGUGACAGCCAUCUCCAAAAACCUGACUUAAGAGAGUAAGAUGCA